rnacentral:rRNA from 1 species
GAUGAACGCUGGCGGCGUGCUUAACACAUGCAAGUCGAGCGAGAAGUUUUGAAAAGAUUCUUCGGAUGAAAUUUAAAAUGGAAAGCGGCGGACGGGUGAGUAACGCGUAGGCAACCUGCCCCAUACAAAGGGAUAGCAUUUGGAAACGAAUAUUAAUACCUUAUGAAACUUAACUAGUGCAUGCUAGGUAGGUCAAAGAUUUAUCGGUAUGGGAUGGGCCUGCGUCUGAUUAGCUAGUUGGUGAGGUAACGGCUCACCAAGGCGACGAUCAGUAGCCGACCUGAGAGGGUGAACGGCCACAUUGGAACUGAGACACGGUCCAAACUCCUACGGGAGGCAGCAGUGGGGAAUAUUGCACAAUGGGGGAAACCCUGAUGCAGCAACGCCGCGUGAACGAUGAAGGCCUUUGGGUCGUAAAGUUCUGUUCUAGGUGAUGAAAACUGGCAGUAACCUAGGAGAAAGCCCCGGCUAACUCCGU